CCUACGGGAGGCAGCAGUGAGGAAUAUUGGUCAAUGGACGAGAGUCUGAACCAGCCAAGUAGCGUGGAGGAUGACUGCCCUAUGGGUUGUAAACUUCUUUUAUAUGGGAAUAAAAUGUUCCACGUGUGGGAUUUUGUAUGUACCAUAUGAAUAAGGAUCGGCUAACUCCGUGCCAGCAGCCGCGGUAAUACGGAGGAUCCGAGCGUUAUCCGGAUUUAUUGGGUGUAAAGGGAGCGUAGGUGGAUUGUUAAGUCAGUUGUGAAAGUUUGCGGCUCAACCGUAAAAUUGCAGUUGAAACUGGCAGUCUUGAGUACAGUAGAGGUGGGCGGAAUUCGUGGUGUAGCGGUGAAAUGCUUAGAUAUCACGAAGAACGCCGAUUGCGAAGGCAGUUCACUGGACUGCAACUGACACUGAGGCUCGAAAGUGUGGGUAUCAAACAGGAUUAGAUACCCCGGUAGUC
rnacentral:rRNA from 1 species